UGUGAAUUAGGUCCGGAGGAUCCGUAACUAGAUAUGCCUUGGGGGAUUUUAGCGAGUUAAGGUAGUAAAGGCCUUCUGAUUCAAGUCCUAUUCCAAUCGUCUGCCCCGUACUGCGGUCCUGCAUAAUAAAGGGAUCAUCAAUACAAUAUAUACCACAAUGGAGGGCACGAGUCAAAUGACUAACAGAUGCAAGAUUAAAAGGACAGCCAGGGACAUAGAGAACGGAAUAUAGAGUGACAGAGGGUAGGGGAGUCGCUUGUCCAACUCCUUUUGCUUUGGUUUGAGACCCAUUGGCUAAAGUAACAGUAGGAAGGGACUGAGGCAGGGGAGUUGCUUGUCCAACUCCUUUUGCUUUGGUUUGAGACCCAUUGGCUAAAAUAACAAUAGGAAGGGACUGUGAAUACGCAAUAUUUGAC
rnacentral:lncRNA from 1 species